rnacentral:rRNA from 1 species
CCAAUAGCGUAUAUUAAAGUUGUUGCAGUUAAAAAGCUCGUAGUUGAACUUCGGGGUUCACCUAUUGGUCAGGCUUAAUUGUCUGCACUGGUGAGAUAAGUCUCUACCUUCUGAGGAACUUUCAUGCCAUUUAUUUGGUGUGGUUGGAAAUCAGGACUGUUACUUUGAAAAAAUUAGAGUGUUUAAAGCAGGCUAACGUCUGAAUACAUUAGCAUGGAAUAAUGAAAUAGGACGGACUGAUUCUAUUUCGUUGGUUUCUAGGAUCACCGUAAUGAUUAAUAGGGAUAGUUGGGGGCAUUAGUAUUCAAUUGUCAGAGGUGAAAUUCUUGGAUUUAUUGAAGACUAACUACUGCGAAAGCAUUUGCCAAGGAUGUUUUCAUUAAUCAAGAACGAAAGUUAGGGGAUCGAAGACGAUCAGAUACCGUCGUAGUCUUAACCAUAAACUAUGCCGACUAGGGAUCGGACGAAGUUAAUUUUAUAAUGACGCGUUCGGCACCUUACG